ACGGGAAGAACCUUACCAGGUCUUGACAUCCUCUGACAAUCCUAGAGAUAGGACGUCCCCUUCGGGGGCAGAGUGACAGGUGGUGCAUGGUUGUCGUCAGCUCGUGUCGUGAGAUGUUGGGUUAAGUCCCGCAACGAGCGCAACCCUUGAUUUUAGUUGCCAGCAUUCAGUUGGGCACUCUAAGGUGACUGCCGGUGACAAACCGGAGGAAGGUGGGGAUGACGUCAAAUCAUCAUGCCCCUUAUGACCUGGGCUACACACGUGCUACAAUGGACAGAACAAAGGGCAGCGAAACCGCGAGGUUAAGCCAAUCCCACAAAUCUGUUCUCAGUUCGGAUCGCAGUCUGCAACUCGACUGCGUGAAGCUGGAAUCGCUAGUAAUCGCGGAUCAGCAUGCCGGGGUGAAUACGUUCCCGGGCCUUGUACACACCGCCCGUCACACCACGAGAGUUUGUAACACCCGAAGUCGGUGAGGUAACCUUUUAGGAGCCAGCCGCCUAAAACCAACCCCUGCGGCCCCCCAA
rnacentral:rRNA from 1 species